ensembl:snRNA U4 U4 spliceosomal RNA
AGCUUUGCGCAGUGGCAGUAUCGUAGCCUAUGAGGUUUAUCCGAGGCGCGAUUAUUGCUAGUUGAAAACUUUACCCAAUACCCCGCCUAGACGACUUGAAAUAUAGUCGGCGACGGCAAUUUUUGACAGUCUCUAAGGAGA